AGCGAACGCUGGCGGCAGGCCUAACACAUGCAAGUCGAACGCCCCGCAAGGGGAGUGGCAGACGGGUGAGUAACGCGUGGGAACAUACCCUUCGGUUCGGAAUAACUCAGGGAAACUUGGGCUAAUACCGGAUACGUCCGUGAGGAGAAAGAUUUAUCGCCGAAGGAUUGGCCCGCGUAAGAUUAGCUAGUUGGUGAGGUAACGGCUCACCAAGGCUAUGAUCUUUAGCUGGUCUGAGAGGACGAUCAGCCACACUGGGACUGAGACACGGCCCAGACUCCUACGGGAGGCAGCAGUGGGGAAUAUUGGACAAUGGGCGCAAGCCUGAUCCAGCCAUGCCGCGUGAGUGAUGAAGGCCUUAGGGUUAGUAAGCUCUUUCGGCGGGGACGAUAAUGACGGUACCGCAGAAGAACGCCCGGCUAACUUCGUGCCAGCCGCCGCAGUAAC
rnacentral:rRNA from 1 species